CAUGGAGGAUAAGGAUGUUCUAUCCACAUAGAGGAAAUGGAGGAUAAGGAUGUUCUAUCCACAUAGAGGAAAUGGAGGAUAAGGAUGUUCUAUCCACAUAGAGGAAAUGGAGGAUAAGGAUGUUCUGUCCACAUGGAGGAUAAGGAUGUUCUAUCCACAUAGAGGAAAUGGAGGAUAAGGAUGUUCUGUCCACAUGGAGGAAAUGGAGGAUAAGGAUGUUCUAUCCACAUAGAGGAAAUGGAGGAUAAGGAUGUUCUAUCCACAUAGAGGAAAUGGAGGAUAAGGAUGUUCUGUCCACAUGGAGGAUAAGGAUGUUCUAUCCACAUAGAGGAAAUGGAGGAUAAGGAUGUUCUAUCUACAUAGAGGAAAUGGAGGAGGGAUAAGGAUGUUCAAUCUACAUCCUCUAUGUAGGUAGAACAUCCUCACCACCAUACUGUAGGUAGAACAUCCUCACCACCAUACUGUAGGUAGGACAUCCUCACCACCAUACUGUAGGUAGAACAUCCUCACCACCAUACUGUAGGUAGAACAUCCUCACCACCAUACUGUAGGUAGAACAUCCUCACCACCAUACUGUAGGUAGAACAUCCUCACCACCAUA
ensembl:lncRNA